UACAGAGGUGGCAAGCGUUGUUCGGAAUUACUGGGCGUAAAGGGCGCGUAGGCGGCCUUCUAAGUCAGACGUGAAAUCCCCAGGCUUAACUUGGGAACUGCGUCUGAUACUGGGAGGCUUGAGUGCGGAAGGGGCAACUGGAAUUCUUGGUGUAGCGGUGAAAUGCGUAGAUAUCAAGAGGAACACCUGCGGCGAAGGCGGGUUGCUGGGCCGACACUGACGCUGAGGCGCGAAAGCCAGGGGAGCGAACGGG
rnacentral:rRNA from 1 species